CGCACUUCCGGCCGACGGCGGUGGCCCGGACGCAGGUGAGUGGGCCCGGUUGCGGCCGGCCGGCGGGGCGGGGCCGGGCGGCCGCGGCGCCCUCGAGGCUCGCACGCCCGGGCCUGCCCCCGCCGCGGUCCCGGGACCAGGUCUGCGCGGCCCCGGCGGUUGGCGCCCCCCCUGGCCGGGCCGCGGCAGGAGCAGGACGGGGCUUGGCCGCCGCUUCCCUCGCACGGAGUUUGCUCCCGGUCGUGGUACCCGGGAUGCUGGCGGUGUCCCUCCGCGGCCCCCAGCGCGCCCGCGCCCCCUCUGCAAUGUGCACUGGAGUCUGUCCCGGGCCCCCUUCCUCCCGGGGCUCCGGUUCCUCGCCUGCCCAGUCUCCAGGACACUUGUCUUUUGGAUCUUUGCCCCUGAUGCCCGCAUUUGCCCGGGGACAACCAUAGUCGUCGGUGAAAAGGUCCAUUCUUAGCAACCUUGGCCUAUAUGCCUCAGGGCCUUUUCUAAGGAAAUUUCUGUCCUUGCACACAGGACCGUGCCUGAGAGUGGACAAGUGCUGCUGUCCUUCCUGCCUCACCUCUGUCCUGUCCACCACCACUCAGUGUGUUGUCCACCCCUGGGCUCAGGAAAAUACUUGAAGUCCAUGGUCACGUGGCCUCAUGGUGUCAGUGCUUCCUUUGAAUUGCAAGGCAAGAAGCCACCAGAAUGUCUCUUGCCAUUUCUUGUAGCCUGGAGCUUAAGGUUUCAGAAGUAAAUCCUGAAUUUCAUUUCUAAGGAAGGCAUUUCAAGCGCUUUGUCUUGCAAGCCAGACAGCAGCGUUUUCAGCCACCUCAUAACACCUGCACACAUCUGCACAUCCAACGCCAAGAAACAUUCUUAAUGGCCCAUUUCUGGACCUGAGCCUCCUCCAGAAAUUUGUUGGCCCCUCACAGGUUCCUGUGUGAUCCCACGGAUCCCCCAGUUUUGUUUUAGAAAUCCUCCUGAGGCUGGCCUACGGCCUGAUUGCCAUCUCUUCCCACAGUGUGAUGCACCUCCUGGGCUGUGUGUGCUGUGCUAGGCAGGGUGCUCGCUCACAGUCAGUACUGUGGUGCAAAGCACCAGCAGGACGUUUGGCAGACCAGGAGGCCAACUGAUGGAGAAAGGAGUUCCCAGAGGUGACUGGUGACAAGCCUGCCCUGUGUCUACGAAGCGCUGACUACAUUUGAAUACACAUCUCAUUUCUCUUGAGUUGUGGUCUUAGGGGCUGUGUGUUUUACAUGCCGCACCUGUAAGUAGCCUUCUGGCUUCUUGGACUGCAGGAAGUUGGAUGAAGCAAUCCACAUAAAGGUUUAGAAGGGAGGUGGGAGGAGUGAACCCCUCAGGAGUUCUUUUGGGGGUCCUAUGUGCCUUUUCAUCAAAGAACAGGGUGGUGGUGCUGCAGCCUCUGUGAUCUGUACGCUCUCCCCGUGCCAGGAAGGGCUGGAGUUGAGAGGGUGGCAGGAGUGUCAUAGCACUUGUUUCAGGUAAAGCUUCCUGGUGGGUCUGAGUAGUGAGGACGUGCGUAGGUAUGUCCUGGCGCUUGACGUGAUGUUUUCUUUCUUCUCUGCUUUUUAGUUCCUGAAGCACUGUGGAUGAGACACCAUUGUGGACCCUGGAAAGAAGCACCUCGCUUGUGCCACAAUACCUUCAUUAAUCGGAAACUGGGCAUUGUUUGAGGAAGACCUGCUACUGUCCCUGAGAAGAAGGCUGAGGAUCCAGCCACACCAAGCAGUCUAGGGCAGAUUGAUGCUGGAAAUUUCCCCUGCGGAGAGGAUCAGCAGCUGACCACUUUGCCAGUAGCUGAGGCCUGAGCUUCCAGAGCCUGGAUGCCCAGGGGAAGCUGAGGAAGAGGUUGCUGCAGGUAGAGGGUAGAGCCAAGGAGGACUGGGCUUGAGCCCAGGAGCAGCAGAGACAAGAAGGGAGAACCUGAGGCACGGAGGGGAAACUCACAGCGGGAACGAGAGGCAGCAGUCCGGCCACCCUUCCCAUGGCCUCUAAGCAGGCUGCCGUGAAGGGCAGGGUCGGGAAGCGGAAGCGGGUGGUGCUGACGCUGAAGGAGAAGAUUGACAUCUGCACACGCCUGGAGCGGGGCGAGAGCAGAAAGGCGCUGAUGCAGGAGUACAACGUGGGCAUGUCCACCCUGUAUGACAUCAAGGCCCACAAGGCCCAGCUGCUCCGGUUCUUCGCCAAUUCUGACUCCAACCAGGCGCUGGAGCAGCGGCGCACGCUGCACACACCCAAGCUGGAGCACCUGGAUCGGGUGUUGUAUGAGUGGUUCCUGGUGAAGCGUGCCGAGGGCGUCCCCGUGUCAGGCCCCAUGCUCAUCGAGAAGGCCAAGGACUUCUACGAGCAGAUGCGGCUGACCGAGCCCUGUGUGUUCUCUGGAGGGUGGCUUUGGCGUUUUAAGGCCAGGCAUGGCAUUAAAAAGCUAGAUGCAUCCAGUGAGAAGCAGGUAGCUGACCACCAGGCAGCGGAGCAGUUCUGCGGCUUCUUUAGGAGCUUGACCACUGAGCACGGGCUCUCUCCUGAGCAGGUGUACAGUGCCGAUGAGACCGGUCUUUUCUGGAGGUGCUUGCCAAGUCCCAGCCCAGAUGGUGGGACUAUGCCCAGCCUCAAGCAGGGCAAGGACAGACUGACUGUCCUGAUGUGUGCCAAUGCCACAGGUUCCCAUAGAAUCAAGCCCUUGGCCAUCGGGAAAUGCCGUGGCCCCAGGGCUUUCACAGGCAUCCAGCACCUGCCCGUCGCCUACAAGGCCCAGGGUAAUGCCUGGGUGGACAAGGAGAUCUUCUCAGAUUGGUUCCACCGCAUCUUUGUCCCCUCGGUCAGAGAACACUUUAGAACCAUAGGUCUGCCGGCAGACAGCAAGGCCAUCCUGUUGCUGGACGACUCCAGGGCCCACCCACAGGAGGCUGCGUUGGCAUCUGAUAACAUCUUCACCAUCUUCUUGCCUGCCAGUGUGACAUCGUUGAUCCAGCCCAUGGAGCAGGGCAUCCGAAGAGACUUCAUGAGGCACUUCAUCAACCCCCCUGGGAGCCUGCAGGGCUUCCACCCGCGGUACAGCAUGAACGAUGCCAUACUCAGCGUGGCCUGUGCUUGGAACGCUGUGCCCAGCCAUGUCUUCAGGAGGGCCUGGAGGAAGCUGUGGCCUGCUGUCAUGUUUGCAGAAGGCUCUUCCGAGGGCGAGGAGGACGAAGAGGCCGAGCCUUGCAGUACCAAGCCUCAUAACAAGACUUUGGCCCACAUCCUCGAGCUCGUGAGGGAGGGCCCCUUCUGCCCAGGCCACAGGCUUCCGCCCAGUGCAGGGAGGGAGGUGGAGGAGGCACCCACUGCUAUGCUGCCGGCUGAGGCUGACCGGAAUGCAGACCGGGUGGAGAGAGACGCUGGGGAGGACUCUGCGGCCGAGGUGGCCUGGGAGCAGGCGGCCGCAGCCUUUGAGGCACUUGUGCACUUCGCGGAGCAGCAGCCCUGCUUCAGCACACAGGAGGUGGGGCAGCUGCAUGCACUGCACUCUGCCUUCAGGAGGCGGCUGCAGCUGAGGCAGCAGCCCGUCGCCCUGAGGGCCAUGGUGAAGCUUGAGGCCCGCCAGGAUCACCCGGGUAGGUGCAGGGCCACAGCCCACUCCCCCCUGCCCUGCUCAUCCACAGCCAGUGAUAACUGAUGGCUGUCAUCACACCCAUUUGACCCCUAGGACAUGGGGUCAGUCCUGGGACACAGACUGCCCGCUGGGCGGGAGAGCACGCUCAGAGAGAGCUUAAGCGCUCCCCCAGGGGGUGGUGCCCCCAGCACAUUGUCUCCAUUACUCAGAAGGACCCAGGCCUGUGUGUUUUGGCUGAUUGCAGUUUACCUGUGUCGUUUGCUACGUCCUGUGAAUGGGAGGAGACCCUCUGGAGAGUCCAUGCUACCUUAAGCACACCCAAGCCUCCUCUAUUGAAACUGGGGGCCAGGCUGGGUGAAUCCCGAAUCUUCUGUGGCCUGGCAAACCUUGCUGUGUUGGAUAGAGGUGUGUCUGUCCUGGCAGAGAAGAGCACUGUGCUAGCCCACAGGGGCAGCGCCUCCUGCCCCAGGGAGGCUGGGUAGGCUGAGCUGGCAGUAGUUCAUGUGCUGGGUGGACCCCAAGUCGAGUGUGAGGGCAGGGACUCAGUUCAUGACCUCAAGUGCCCUCAGGCCACACAUCUCCCCAUUGGCACAUGCCUGCUUCAGCCACAGUCAUGCUCAGCAGAAGAGCUCUGUAGUGUCCCCUGUGGCCUGCAGACCCUGCCCUUCAGGCCCAGGCAGGCCCUCUGGUCACCCUCAGGGACCCUGGACUGUUGUUUUUAGCAUUUGGCUCAGAGACCACUACAAAGUCUGUAUUCCAUGCUCCCAGACUUUCAGUUAGAGCCCCUAACUGAAGAAGUCGCCAUCAGGAGUUCAGAGUCUAGUCUUAGGUCUGCACACGGCCACUGAGGACAGUGACACAGGCCCCAGCAGCGUGGAAGCUUUCGUCCUUGCUGUUUCCAGGGCAGCGAUGCUCUGGGGGAAGGCCUGUCUGUACCAGUGGGUGUUGGGAGGCCGACCCUAGGACGUGGUCAUUUCCUCGGCCUUAGUAGCCCUCUGUGGCUUUACCUCUAGCAGCACCAUGCUUCCUGGCUGUGACUCCAGAGGCCCUGUCCACCGCGUUAGCUGCGUUGUGGCCGUGAAAUGGGUGUUUUUCCGAGCUCACUCCUUUGCCCUUGAGCUCCAUUCCUUCUUGGAUUCGCAUCCUGGCAGCUGAAUUGGCACGAGGUUUCAUUCCCCUGCUCGUCAGGUACUCCAUCAAGAGACGCGCUGCUGGGAUCCUGAGAGCCAAGGGACUUACAGGGAGGUUUGUGGUUCUAGUCUGUCCAGACGCUGAGGCCGUAGUGAUGUUGAUAUAGCGCUGUGUUGUAGAAUGUGUGUUUCUUUGAAGCAUGUGGGAAGAUCAUAAAAACCAGAUAGUUUUUGAAGUUUUGUUGCGGAUUCUUGGGGCUCUGUGGCCUUGUGUUGUGUUGCCGUCGUGCUCUGCUUCGUGCCUGUGCGUCUGCGUCAUGCCGUUGCUGGCUCACAGCAGGGAUUGCAGCUGCCUGGGGUUCUGCAGGGUGGAGGGCGGGCGUCACACCUGUUGCUGGCAGAGCCAAAUGUUGGACCUACCAAGCGGAUGUGCACCCUGCUGGCAGCCCUCCCCGACCCCACAGAUGAUCUGUGCUCAUCAGACUCUACGAUCCAGAACCAUCUCACCCUCACAACUGCUCCUGUCCUGUCUGGGUGCUGUGUGGCCACAGGGCACCCCUCCUUCCAGAACAGCUCCAGGGACAAGCCCCCUUCGGGCUGAACCUGUACUCUCUCUUCCUGUCCUCUGCUCUCCCUUCCUGUCCUCUGCUCUCCCUUCCUGUCCUCUGCAGGCUUUUGGCAGCUUCCUUGUGGGCUUGUCACUGGAGAGUUGCAGACUCCACAAGAGAAGGCCUGAGGCGAGUGCUGUGCAGAGGCACAGGUCUACUGCCCGCCUCUGAGUGCCAGGUCCAGGUUCCAUGCUCCCUGAAGAGCCCUGUGCUCUCUGGACAGCUGCAACCAGCCUCUCCAGAAGUCAUGUGGCCCAGCAGCUUAGCCUCAGCACCUUUCCCAAACAGUUCUGGGUGGACUCACCAUGCCCAACUUUACACCUGAGCUGGUGGGAACACGUCUUCCCCUUCCCUUUCCCCAAGUGGUCUGCAGAGCACUGUGAUCUCUGUCCCAUUUAAGUGCCUUCCCCUUCUGACCUGGGAACCUUGGCCAAGUCCACCCCUGCGGGUCGAGAGGGCUGGUGGGCACUGCAGUCCAGUCAGGACCCCGGCUGCUCCAGUCCCCUGGCCACGGGUUUUCUCCCCUUGCUGACCUUUGGCUCCCCUGAGUGCAGGACCUGGUGUGCUUGCACUCCUCUGUCCUACCCCAGUGAGAGGGCUCUAGGGGCAGCUUCCCACCCUGGGCCGCCUG
rnacentral:lncRNA from 1 species